GAAGGGACCAAAGGGGCUAUGGCAGCUGGGAACCGGAGCCAGAAAUCUGAGAACCAGGGAGCUAUUACUACUGAACUAUUUCACAAACCCAUUUUGAAAGUCAAAAACCGAGCACUGAGUCUUUCUCUGUAAUCCAGCUACACCAACCCUAAUCUUCUCUGAGGUGAUGCACAGCUGUCACUGGGGAGAAAUGGAAUGCCAGGAAAUGCACAAAGGAAAAGCAUCCUGACAAAUGUUUUCAGCCUUAUGCGCCACACCACUAAAGAACAUUGCCACCUGCUGUAGGAUAUGAAGCUUCUGAAGCACAUGAGAAGUAAGAGGAAACAAUGGUCAUGCCCCCAAAGGUCUUGCUCCACAGAACUGGAGGGACACGUUCUGAAGAAUCCCAGAUUGCAUUCCAGAUGCACCCCAUGGAAACAUGGGACUUUGGUCCUUUUCCAACACCAGGUCACAAGGAGAAAGCUCAUUUUGCAGCUACUCACAGUUACUAGCAGGGCCAUCAUCCUUAACAUUUUUCUGUUGACUCAGAUCUCAGUGAUUUGUAGAAGGAUAAAUUAUCUAAGUAUGAAUUUCCUCUUAAUUCUGAAUAGAAUCUUAUAAUAGCCUCUAUCCUGUUACGACGUUCCCAGUAGUCUUAUGAAUUCAGUAGGGAAUAAACCAGCUGUUUCCAUUUCAUGGGGAGGGCGGGAGGAACAAUCUUGGACUUUUUCUUUUUUUCAACCAAUGUUUAUUGAACCCUUAUUGUGAACCAGGAGCUGUAUUAGGCUCUGAGAAUACACAGUUAGCCUGAACCUACAUGAUGCUUAUACUAGGGAAGAAGACACAUAAACAGAUACUUUUAUUAUAAAAUGGUAGAAAUAAUUACUAGGUGUCAAAGGUUCAAAGUUGAAGGGUAUCACUCAGCCUUCCUGGAGGAGCUGAGACUUGAAUUAAGACUUGAAGGAUGGGCCAGAUGCCAAGUGGGGAGAAGAGCUCUGUUGAUCUGUUCAUUGUGGUAUCCCUACCACCCCACCACAUGGUCUAGUACAUGGAAGACAUUUAAUACAGUGAAUUUGCGAAAGAAAUCUCAGCAGAGGAAAUGUUAUAAGCACAAACAAGGCACGGGAAACUAGAAAUGAUUUGGAUUUACGAGAAGAUUAAUCCUUAUAGGAUCAUAGAUUUCUCUGAAAAACUAAUAGAAGCUAUGGUCCGUCUUCCUACCAAAAUUAACAUACACUCAACAUUUAACAGGUAAUUUUAGGGGGAUACAGAUAUGCCUGAAACUUGUACACACUGAGAAAUCUCUGUUAUAGGGAAUUGGGAGCAUUGAGGUUUUUAAAAACAUCUUUAUUUUAUUUAUUAUAAAGUAGGGGAAUGACAUAACUUAGAGUUACUUUGGAUGCAUAGUGAAGGAUGGGCUUAAGGAAGAUAAGACUAGAUGUGGCAGUUCACUUAAGAGGUUGCUGAAAUAAUUCUGGGUGAGUUAGCCAGAACUAGGAGUGAAGACACGGGCAUGGAGAAGAGUAGUGGGGUGAAGAAUACUUUAAGCGGUAAAACUGGCCUUGCUGGUGUUUGGUUGGAUUUGAGAGCAAGGAAUGGGAAGGAGCUAAGGUUGACUUUCAGGUUUUUUGAAGGACAGGGCAGAUGGUGGUGCUAGUAAUUGAGAUAGGAAAUGCAGGAAAAGAGGUUUGGGUCAGGAAUGGGCUGAUGGAGAGUCUGGGGACGGGAGAAAUGAGGAGUUUGGGUUUGGCCAUGUUGAGAUCACUUGAGGCGACCAGGUAAUGACAGAUACGAGCGAAGUGGAAGGAUAAUGGGGAGAUGCUGUAAACUUUAAGGAGCAAAGGAUUAUGGGAGAGUGGAGUGGGGGUCCAGCAUAUGUUUUCACUUAAUUGGGCAGUGAGGAGGACUGGUGGCCACUGAGUCUGAGGAAUGUGGGGAGUAAGAUCAUAAGGCAGCUCCUCAAACAAGGGUUGGCGGAGGGCCAGUGUCUUCAGGAGCUAUGUUAAUUUCCCAGGGCUGCCACAACCAAGCACCACAAACUGGGUGACUUAAAACAACUGGAAUUUAUUGUCUCACAGUUCUUGGGGCUAGAAGUCAGAAAUCAGAGUGAAGCAGGAGAAGAAGGUCUGAAGGCAGGGAACCUGAGGCCAUUUCAUGCAGACUUCCUAGAACUAAAUUCAUGCAGACUUCCUA
rnacentral:lncRNA from 10 species